rnacentral:rRNA from 1 species
UAGGGAAUCUUCCACAAUGGACGAAAGUCCGAUGGAGCAACGCCGCGUGAGUGAAGAAGGGUUUCGGCUCGUAAAAACUCUGUUGUUAAAGAAGAACAUAUCUGAGAGUAACUGUUCAGGUAUUGACGGUAUUUAACCAGAAAGCCACGGCUAACUACGUGCCAC